CUUUACUAAAAGCUUAUUUGUUAACUAAACUAUUUGUAAAAUGAAUAUUCAGCAAGGACAGAUGCUAGUUUAAACUAAAUAUCUUAAUCACCUUAAUCCUAUCCCUCGUAAGUACACACUUAAUUCUGAGCCUCGUUUGCUUACACUUAACGAGUUUUAUUUUACACACCGAGAAAGAAUUUUGUAGGCGCCAACAAUUGUUGUCUAAAACUUCAAGAAGUUAUUGCAUUGCAUGUUUUGUUUUUAAUCGUUUACCAGUUAACUGUGAGAAUUCAGACGCAAACAAAAUUUUAAUUUUCUAAUAUUCAAAUUAAAACGGUAAAAGAUCCACUUCAUCAAAACGGCGUUAACAGACUGUUGAUUUUGAAAUCAACGUAUUAGUGGCUGAGUAUAAAACAAAUCGAUGAUUUAGAAAUAAGAUUACUUGUCCACAAAGUAUGAGCAGUCAGCAUUGUUUUUAUUAAAACAUUGUUUUGUAUCAUUUUCAUUAAAAACAUCAAACAAUUUUGCGCCAACAUCAGAUCGCUACCAGAAUAUGCUAUAUUCAAAGAUGCUGUUAUUUAGAACGUUAGGUAUCACCUGUCUUUUAUUACAAACUUUUUCUGCUAAACCAAUGCAACUAAAAAAUAAAGUAAAUGAAUUUUCUAAAAGUAUUCAUGGGCUAAAAGAAGAAGAGUUACCACAUUCAGAAGUCAAAGAUGACGUGAUCAUGGUCCCUAAUAAUAAAUGGAACAAAUCUAGUUGCGAAGCAUACACGUACCCAACAAAAAUUUAUUUAGAAGAUUGUGAACCUGUAACAGCAGAAAACAAUAUGUGUUAUGGACGAUGUAAUAGCAUUUUUGUUCCUGGUCUUCAAGAACAAUAUUCCACCGCGUGUGUACCGGUUUACGAAAAAAUAGACAUUUUGAUGAGUUGUAAAAUUGGAGAGAAAAGUUUUCAAAAAACUCGAUUUUACUGGAAAAUAGUUUCUUGUUCAUGCCGAAAAGUUAAGCUCGAUGACAAUUUGCUUGAUAAAAAAAAAGAAAACAAAUAGUUUGUAAAAUAUUUAUAGCAAUGAGAAAAUUGACCUAAAAAACCAAAUGUAAAUAUAUUAGUAACAAAAAUGAAACAAUGAGAACUAAAUAACAAUUA